rnacentral:rRNA from 1 species
AGUAGUUUGACUCCGUGGCUACGAGACGACGCUGGCGGCGUGCCUAACACAUGCAAGUCGAACGAGGUCCAUCCUUCGGGAGAAGACCUAGUGGCGAACGGGUGAGUAACACGUGAAGAACCUGCCCCGAAGACCGGGAUAACCCUCCGAAAGGAGAGCUAAUACCGGAUACCCCCACCGAACCGCAUGGUUUGGUGAGGAAAUGGAUUCCGCUUCGGGAGGGCUUCGCGGCCUAUCAGCUAGUUGGUGGGGUAACGGCCCACCAAGGCAUCGACGGGUAGCUGGUCUGAGAGGACGAUCAGCCACACUGGGACUGAGACACGGCCCAGACUCCUCCGGGAGGCAGCAGUGGGGAAUCUUGCGCAAUGGGCGAAAGCCUGACGCAGCAACGCCGCGUGGGGAUGAAGGCUCUCGGGUUGUAAACCCCUUUCAGCAGGGACGAAUCAAGACGGUACCUGCAGAAGAAGCCCCGGCUAACUACGUG